rnacentral:lncRNA from 1 species
UCCAGUUCUAAAUAAAUAAUCUUUUCAUUCCCAUUUUAAUAUUUAUUCUACUCUACUAUAUACACUAUCUUUGGCCAGGGCAAGAUGAAUUGCUUUGCCCUGUGAAAAAUAAUAUAUUGUGAAACCAGCAAUCAAUUGAUGAUGUGAUUUUUUCUCUCCCAAGGAAGCCAGAACACCUUGGAGAAACUUCAAAAGGACUUCUCAAAUAGAAAACUUCUGGUUACAUGGAACAUUGUCCCAUAAAAAUUUGGUGACUUUCAAGGACCAAUAUAUUCGGCAAGUCCAGGAGGAUAAAUUGACAGCAAGGCCAGAUACAGAACAUUUGGUCAAGUGAGCAAACACAGACUACCAACAACAACAAAAAAUCAACAACUAAAAGUGGUGACAUCACAUUUAAGUGAAGCCCUGUCAGAGACUUCUUCCUCACUGCCCACAUCAUUGAGUUAAACAUAAGGUAUGUAAAUACAAACAGUGCUGUCUCAUGCUGUAUAUGUUAUUCAAUCACAAGUCAGG